UCUUACUAGCUUUGUAUUAUCUAUUUUAUAGUACAAAAAGUAACUUUAUGGCAAGUAUAUAAAGAGACUAUUAUGGAAAAAAAGCUGUAUAUUAAACCACUAGUACCGUAAAAAGAAUGGAGUAAUAUCCAUUCUUAGGGAAAAUGGUAGAAAAAUUUCUAUAAAAAGAAACGAAGUGAAUUGAAGUAUCUUAGUAGCUUCAGGAAAAUAAAUCAAACGAGAUUCUAUUAGUAGUGUGAAUGAAAAUAGAUAAAGGCUUAAAGUAAAAUGGAUUCAUCUGUUUGAAUAUAGGGGAACCUUCCUCUAAGCCUUAAUAUAAUAUACAAGUAAUAGAGAAUAGUACUGUGAAGGAAAAUUUGUAAGUAGUAGUCUUAUAAGCAGCUCGAGAUAAGUUUAAUAAACAUAUAAGAGCGUACCUUUUGUAUAAUGGGUCAGCAAGUUCUAGUUAGAUGCAAGCAACUACCUAUUGUUCUAAAAAACAAGAGAUUUGCCUAGAUAAUCCAAUUAUUAAGUAAUGAAUUAGUAUCUAAUUAGAGACCCGAAGAGUAGUGAUCUUACCAUGGUCAGGCUUAUAAAAGGCCGAAUGGGUUAUCGUUGUAAAGAUAUCCAAAGAACUGUGGUAAGUUAGUGAAAGACAAUCCUGACUACUAUAGCUGGUUUUCCGCGAAACAUAUGUAAGUAUGUAGUUUAAGUUACAUCAUAGCAGGUACAGAACUGUGAUCUCGGACAAUUUGUGCAUUUUCAUUCCUAAAGGGUAAUAGUAUCCUCUAGAGAGUGGUAAUGCCUUGUGCAUAUGGGGGGGUCGUGAAGACUCUAUUCGCGAGUAUUUGCUCUCGGAAGGGCAAUGAUGAAUCUUGAACUAUCAGACAUUUAACGAUAAGGUUGUGUGUCAAAAGGGAAACAGCCCAGAACAAGUGUUUAAGGUUCCAAAGUUUUUGUUAAGUGAAAGUAAGGAAGUAUUUAAACGAUACAACCAGGAAAUAGGCUUAGAAGCGGCCAUUUUUUAAAGACCUCGUAACAGAGCACUGGUUCAAAAGGUUAGUUAAAUAACCUAUUUAGUUAAAAGCGCCGAAGAUAUAACGGAUCUAAACAAAACACCGACACCUUGUCCAUAAAAAAAAAUAGGUUACAUUUGAUCUAUGAAGUUUCGCUAUAUUUACAAAACCGUUACGUGAGUGAUAUAGGUCACGAUUAAGAACAAAAGGUAAUUCUAUGUAAUAUACGUAAACACUAGUUACGUAUUAUUUAUGGGGUAGCGGAACAUUGGGUAAAUAGGAUUAGAAACAAAGGAAAUAGAAAAAAAGGUAUUUGUACUGGGGGGUGAUAAUACCAUUAGCUGUGAAAAGCUAAAAGAUCCAUUAACCCUUUGCAACUACGGGAAAAAAAUAAAGUUCAACUGUAGUUGCUCCACAAAGCACUACCAUUAGUAAAUAAUAGGUAGGAAAAGGGAAGUACAUAUGUUUCAAAAUAACUACAAUGUAGUUUGAUCGCUAACUAGCGAUAGUCCAGUAUAUCCCAAGCGAGAAUGCUGACACGAGUAACGAAAAAGAGGAUGCCGAAUAGGACCUCUCGCCUUAAGCUUAUGGAAAAGUGAUUCGGUCUCUAAAUUUAACCUAAAGGAUAAAAUGAUGAGAAGAUUAGAUGUGACAACAUAAAUAAACAGAGUAAAAUGUUCUGGAAAAGCAUUAAAUCGUAAAAAAAAACGGAUAAUAACCGAAAAAAUAAAAUAUAAAGGAUAAAAAGAACUAAUAAGAAUGAAUGUUCCUUUAUCUAAAGAUAGACUAGAUAAGAAAAAACCGUACCUAAAAACUACCACAAGUAAGCUAGUAGAGAAUACGAAGGCGUUUGAGCUAACAAUCAUUAAGGAACUCGGCAAAUUGACACCGUAACUGAGGGAAAAGGUGUGCCAUUCCUACUGAUUAAUAUCAGUUUAGGAAGAGGAGACAUAAAAUGGUGUUGCACGACUGUUUAAUUAAAACACAGCACUUUGCGUAAGAUGUAAAUCAAUGUAUAGAGUGCGCUAUCUGCCCAAUGAUGGCUGGUUAACGGAUUUACUUAGGCGACUAAAAUAGUUUAGGUUUUGAAGGAACCCCCAUUGAAUGGCGGCCUUAUCUAUAAGGGUCCUAAGGUAGCGAAAUACCUUGGCAUUUAAAUGAUGUCGCGCAUGAAUGAUCUAACGAUGCAACAGCUGUCUCAAUGAUUGGCUCAGUGAAACUGGAAUGGCAGUGAAGAUACUGCCUAUCUCUAGAUAGACGAGAAGACCCCAUGCAGCUUUACUGUUACUAGUUAUAGGGUAUAAUGUAACAGGUUUUAGAGAAUAAGGUAGUCGCAACGACAAAAUUGAAACACCUUUACUCUGGUUGUUAUAUCAGUAGAAUAGGUUACACAUUUGUAACUGACGUCUGAAUGUAAUCCAUAAAAGGAGAAAAAUCUAUAGAUUUAGCUCAGGAGACAAUGGCUAGCAGAUGGUUUAUGCGGGGCACAGAUCCCAUAAAGAGUACCUGGGAGUAUCCAAAUUUAUUUUUGUAAUAUGCUAUACGCAAAUUAUAUAAAGCUUUUAUCUAGUAAUUGCUUUAUGUGGUUUAAUUUUUGUAAUUACUUUAUGUAGUUUGUUAUUUUUUAUAUUUACUUUAUUAAGGUUAUAUUUACAAAACCGUUAUGUGAGUGGUAUAGGUUAAUAAAAGUAUCUAUAACGAAUUCAGUUAUAUUUCUAUUUAAGUUAGAACUAAACAAUUUAAUAUAAGUAAGAUUUUACCUAUGUGGAAAAUAGGUGUAUAGAUAACGGUAAAUAGUACUGUUAUUUGUUAUUUUUUUAGAAAAAUGAUAUUGAUAUAUACUUCCAAAGUUUAAUGGCUUAAUCUUGCUUUACUGUUUGACAUACACGUCUAUCAGUUGCGUAAGCAGGGCAUAAAGACCGCAAGACGCAGUAAGGAAAGGUCUUGUAUUAUUGAAAAAGCUACGCUGGGGAUAACAGGCUAAUUGCGCAAGAGAGUACAAAUUGAGUGCGCAGUUUGGCACCUCGAUGUCGGCUUAGCUCAUCCACAUGAAUGCAGAAAUCAUGAAGGGUACGACUGUUCGUCGAUUAAAGAGCUACACGAGCUGGGUUAAAUACGUCGUGAGACAGUAUGGUUUCUAUCUUCUAGAGGAAAUUAGAGUAAAAUAAGGAUAGCCCCUUCGUACGAAAGGAGUUGGGUAUGGUAACCUAUGGUUUACCUGUUGUUUAUACGCUUAAUAUUAACCUGAUAAAAUUACGGUGAGAAUAGGUGCUUUUUACGAAAAAGAGUAAUAAAAAUAAGAUUUUCUUAUUUCCUAUUGGAACGAAAAAGGGUAAUACUUUUAUACUCAAGUAUUUAUGAAUAGUAUAGGCACGGCAGGAAAGCUAUGUUAGUUAAGAUAAGUGCUGAAUGCAUUUAGGCACGAAGCUUACCUUAGGAUACUCUUAAAAACGUAGUAUAACAUUACGAAUCCACAUCUCGCUAUUAUUAGGGCUAGAGAUUUAGUUUAACAACUAAGACUCGUCUAAAAUAGCAGAGGGGAUAAUAGGC
rnacentral:rRNA from 1 species